CUUGAGGGAGCCCAGCCACAGCGGCUGCCCCUCCGGCCGCUCCCGGCCGUACGUGGCGAGCAGCGCCUGCGCCUC
rfam:Streptomyces hygroscopicus ATCC 53653 genomic scaffold supercont1.1, whole genome shotgun sequence.